GAUGAAGAACGUAGCGAAAUGCGAUAAGUAGUGUGAAUUGCAGAAUUCAGUGAAUCAUCGAAUCUUUGAACGCACAUGGCGCCUUCCAGUAUCCUGGGAGGCAUGCCUGUCCGAGCGUCGUUUCAACCCUCGAGCCCUCGUGGCCCGGCGUUGGGGAUCUGCCACGGCAGGCCCCGAAAUACAGUGGCGGACCCGUUAGGCCCUUCCUUUGCGUAGUAGCAUCAGCCUCGCAUCGGGAGCCGGCGGGCUCUCCUGCCUCUAAACCCCCCAACAAGCCCGCUCCGGCGGCACCAAGGUUGACCUCGGAUCAGGUAGGAAUACCCGCUGAACUUAAGCAUAUCAAUAAGCGGAGGA
rnacentral:misc_RNA from 1 species